rnacentral:tRNA from 1 species
UCGUUGAUAGCUCAGUUGGUAGAGCGGUGGACUGUAGAUCCAUAGGUCGCUGGUUCGAAUCCGGCUCGACGGA